rnacentral:rRNA from 1 species
AGAGUUUGAUCCUGGCUCAGAACGAACGCUGGCGGCAGGCCUAACACAUGCAAGUCGAGCGCCCCGCAAGGGGAGCGGCGGACGGGUGAGUAACACGUGGGAAUUUUCCUCAAGGUACGGAACAACUCAGGGAAACUUGGGCUAAUACCGUAUGAUGUCUAGCGACCAAAGAUUUAUCGCCUUGGGAUAAGCCCGCGUCAGAUUAGGUAGUUGGUGAGGUAACGGCUCACCAAGCCUGUGAUCUGUAGCUGGUCUGAGAGGAUGAUCAGCCACACUGGGACUGAGACACGGCCCAGACUCCUACGGGAGGCAGCAGUGGGGAAUCUUGGACAAUGGGCGCAAGCCUGAUCCAGCCAUGCCGCGUGAGUGAAGAAGGCCUUCGGGUUGUAAAGCUCUUUUACCAGGGACGAUAAUGACGGUACCUGUAGAAUAGCCCGAUGGCC